GGCCUUACUUGUUAGCAAUUCGUCAUUCCUGACGUUAGGCUACUUCCCUCAGAAGUCCUGCAUUUUUACCAAAAAAUGCAGCCGCAGACCACGAUUUCUUAAACAACCUCCUCCUCCUCGAAUCUACCGGACUACAUUCCUAUCUAAGAAAAGCACCAAAAUCUCACUCCAAGCAAUGGCAACCGGAAUGUUGCAGGAGGUUCUUCCCCCAGUCCUGGAUUCUACUUCCGAACCACCGACCCUUUUCGAUGGAACCACGAGGUUGUAUAUAUCUUAUAUGUGCCCAUAUGCACAACGCACAUGGAUCGCUAGAAAUUAUAAGGGAUUGCAGGAUAAAAUAAAAUUGGUUGCUAUUGAUCUGCAAAAUAGGCCUGAUUGGUACAAGGAGAUGGUCUACCCUGGAAAUGAGGUGCCUUCGUUGGAGCACAACAAUGAAGUCAAAGGAGAGAGUUUGGAUUUGGUCAAAUACAUCGAUAUCAAUUUCGAAGGCCCGGCGCUUCUCCCUGAUGAUCCUGCCAAGAAGGAGUUUGCAGAAGAGCUGCUUUCGUACUCUGAUACCUUCAAUUCUGUCAACUUCAGAUCACUUCCCCCGAAGGGUUUAUCAGAUGAAGUUGGUGCUGCCUAUGAUCAUCUAGAAAGCGCUCUUUCCAAAUUUGAUGAUGGGCCAUUUUUCCUUGGCCAGUUCAGUGUGGUGGAUAUUGCUUAUGCUCCAUUCAUUGAAAGAUUCCAAAACUUCCUUCUGGAAUUAAAGAAAUAUGACAUCACCACAGCCAGGCCAAAGCUGGCUGCAUGGAUUGAGGAGCUGAAGAAGAUCGAUGCCUACACACAAACCAUACCGGAUCUGAAGAAACUAUUUGAAGGUUACAGGAAACGUUUCCUGGCCAAAUGAAGAAAUGGAUACUGCAUGGAUCUCUAGCAGUUUUAUCAUCACCUAGUUUAUAAUAGUGAAGAGCUCAUGCAUGCAUGAGUUAGGAUUUGCCUUAAAUAAUCUGUUUAUAUUAGUAGUAAUGAACUCUGUGAAUUUCUUAAUGGAACAUAUAUCUUUGUAAAUGUUAGGGCUGUCCUUAAAUAAUUUGGUUGUAUGGGACCAUUGAUCCUUGACAAUAUUCAUCUUGAACUUUAUCAUCUAUUUGUAAGUUGUUUGGAGUACGCCUUCUUUAUGAAAGAGUAUUUUUAGGUGGGAAGCUUUUUAUUUACUCUGUACAAACUAGCAAGUGGCCCUUGCAGUGCAUCUGGACGUGUCAUAUAAAACCCCAACAUGUCUGUGGUGAAAAAAGCA